CCUACGGGUGGCAGCAGUGGGGAAUAUUGGACAAUGGGGGGAACCCUGAUCCAGCCAUGCCGCGUGUGUGAAGAAGGCCCUCGGGUUGUAAAGCACUUUCAGUGAGGAAGAACGCCUGGUGGUUAAUACCCAUCAGGAAAGACAUCACUCACAGAAGAAGCACCGGCUAACUCCGUGCCAGCAGCCGCGGUAAUACGGAGGGUGCGAGCGUUAAUCGGAAUUACUGGGCGUGAAGCGCGCGUAGGUGGCUUGAUAAGCCGGUUGUGAAAGCCCCGGGCUCAACCUGGGAACGGCAUCCGGAACUGUCAAGCUAGAGUGCAGGAGAGGAAGGUAGAAUUCCCGGUGUAGCGGUGAAAUGCGUAGAGAUCGGGAGGAAUACCAGUGGCGAAGGCGGCCUUCUGGACUGACACUGACACUGAGGUGCGAAAGCGUGGGUAGCAAACAGGAUUAGAUACCCCGGUAGUC
rnacentral:rRNA from 1 species